GAUGAACGCUAGCGGCAGGCCUAACACAUGCAAGUCGAGGGGCAGCACAGAAACAGCAAUGUUUUGGUGGCGACCGGCGGACGGGUGCGUAACGCGUAUGCAACCUACCUUUAACAGGGGGAUAACGGAGAGAAAUUUCCACUAAUACCCCAUAACAUCGAUCAAGGCAUCUUGAUUGGUUGAAAACUCCGGUGGUUAAAGAUGGGCAUGCGUUGUAUUAGGUAGUUGGUGAGGUAAUGGCUCACCAAGCCUACGAUACAUAGGGGGACUGAGAGGUUAGCCCCCCACACUGGUACUGAGACACGGACCAGACUCCUACGGGAGGCAGCAGUGAGGAAUAUUGGUCAAUGGGGGCAACCCUGAACCAGCCAUGCCGCGUGCAGGAAGACGGCUCUAUGAGUUGUAAACUGCUUUUAAACAGGGAUAAAGCACAGUAUGUAUACUGUGUUGAAGGUACUGUAAGAAUAAGGAUUGGCUAACUCCGUGCCAGCAGCCGCCGUAA
rnacentral:rRNA from 1 species